rnacentral:rRNA from 1 species
UGGGGAAUAUUGGACAAUGGGCGAAAGCCUGAUCCAGCCAUGCCGCGUGAGUGAAGAAGGCCUUCGGGUUGUAAAGCUCUUUUAGUCGGAAAGAAAGAGUCGCAAUGAAUAAUUGUGAUUUAUGACGGUACCGACAGAAAAAGCACCGGCUAACUACGUGCCAGCAGCCGCGGUAAUACGUAGGGUGCGAGCGUUAAUCGGAAUUACUGGGCGUAAAGGGUGCGCAGGCGGUCUUGCAAGUCAGAUGUGAAAGCCCCGGGCUUAACCUGGGAAUUGCGUUUGAAACUACAAGGCUAGAGUGCAGCAGAGGGGAGUGGAAUUCCAUGUGUAGCAGUGAAAUGCGUAGAGAUGUGGAAGAACACCGAUGGCGAAGGCAGCUCCCUGGGUUGACACUGACGCUCAUGCACGAAAGCGUGGGGAGCAAACA